rnacentral:rRNA from 1 species
GACGAACGCUGGCGGCGCGCUUAACACAUGCAAGUCGAGGAUUUGGGCGGACGGGAGAGUCAUGCCUGGGAAUCUGCAUGGUAGUGGGGAAUACCGUCCAGAAACGGGCGCUAUUACCGCCUACUAUCAGAUGAGCCUAGGUGGGAUUAGCUAGUUGGUAGGGUAAAGGCCUACCAAGGCGACGAUCCGUAACUGGUCUGAGAGGGUGAUCAGUCACACUGGAACUGAGACACGGUCCAGACUCCUACGGGAGGCAGCAGUAGGGAAUAUUGCACAAUGGGCGAAAGCCUGACGGAGCCAUGCCGCGUGUGUGAAGAAGGUCUUCGGAUCGUAAAGCUCUGUUAGUAGGGAGGCGUUACCUACACAAUAAGCCCCGGCUAACUACGUGCCAGCAGCCGCGGUAAUAC